rnacentral:rRNA from 1 species
GGGCACUGAGACACGGGCCCGACUCCUACGGGAGGCAGCAGUAAGGGAUAUUGCGACAAUGGGCGAAAGCCUGACGCAGCAACGCCGCGUGGAGGAUGAAGGCCUUCGGGUUGUAAACUCCUUUUCUGUGGGAAGAGGAAGGACGGUACCACAGGAAGAAGUCUCGGCUAACUACGUGCCAGCAGCCGCGGUAAAACGUAGGAGGCGAGCGUUAUCCGGAUUUACUGGGUGUAAAGCGCGUGCAGGCGGUCUGGUAAGUCGAGCGUGAAAGCUCCCGGCUCAACCGGGAGAGGACGUGCGAAACUGCGAGGCUAGAGACAGGUAGAGGCGUACGGAAUUCCGGGUGUAGUGGUGAAAUGCGUAGAUAUCCGGAGGAACACCAGUGGCGAAGGCGGUACGCUGGGCCUGGUCUGACGCUAAGACGCGAAAGCAUGGGGAGCGAACGGGAUUAGAAACCCCGGUAGUCCAUGCCGUAAACGAUGCUAACUAGGUGUUGCGGGUAAAAGACCGGCAGUGCCGGAGUUAACGCGAUAAGUUAGCCACCUGGGGACUACGGUCGCAAGGCUAAAACUCAAAGGAAUUGACGGGGGCCCGCACAAGCAGCGGAGCGUGUGGUUUAAUUCGAGGCUACACGAAGAACCUUACCUGGGCUUGACAUGACGGUGGUAGGGAACCGAAAGGGGACCGACCUUCGGGAGCCGCCACAGGUGCUGCAUGGCUGUCGUCAGCUCGUGUCGUGAGAUGUUCGGUUAAGUCCGGUAACGAGCGCAACCCUCAUCGCUAGUUACAAGUGUCUAGCGAGACUGCCCGUUCAACGCGGGAGGAAGGCGGGGAUGACGUCAAGUCAGCAUGGCCUUUAUGUCCAGGGCUACACACACGCUACAAUGGCCGGUACAAUGGGUCGCCAACCCGCGAGGGGGAGCCAAUCCACCAAAGCCGGUCACAGUUCGAAUUGCAGGCUGCAACCCGCCUGCAUGAAGUCGGAGUUGCUAGUAACCGCAGGUCAGCUAUACUGCGGUGAAUACGUUCCCGGGCCUUGUACACACCGCCCGUCACGUCAUGGGAGCUGGUCAUGCCUGAAGUCGGUGAGCCAACCGCAAGGAGGCAGCCGCCUAAGGCAGGGCUGGUGACUGGGACGAAGUC